rnacentral:lncRNA from 1 species
UCCCCUUCGCUGCCUCUUUCAAUCUUGCAGGACUAAUGUGUCCUGCUUGGAUGAAUAAUAUCCAACAGUCAGCGUGAAGGCACAGGCGUCUGAGCUUGGCUCAGGCUGUUGUACUGGAUAGCACAGCUCUAGAUGUUGUCUGCAGGUAAUUUCAUCCAUGCUCAGAGCUUCAUUCUCUGUCUAUACCCUGUUUGAGAAAUAGCCACACUGACAUAGCUGGUUCUGACUGGGGCUGUUGGCCACAACAUCUUCACAUGGCCCUUCCAUGGGGCCUGGGCUCUCUCACAGCAUGACAGCUGGGUCCAGGUGUAAGAGUUUCCAGAAAGAGAGAGGGAGAGAAACAGAGACACAGAGAGACAGAAGAGAGGGAAGGUGAGGGGGAGGGAGAGGGAGAAAUAUAGCUUAGCUGACUCUUCCUUUAAAGAUCCACUCAGAAGUCCCUUUCUGGG